AGCCUGAACGCUGGCGGCGUGGCUAAGACAUGCAAGUCGUACGGGUUCCGAGCAAUCGGGACCAGUGGCGAACGGGAGAGUAAUGUAUCGCUAAUGUGCCCCGGACUCUGGGAUAGCCAUCCGAAAGGGUGGGUAAUACCAGAUAAUAUGAGCCUGUCGCAUGACAGGUUUCUCAAAGGUCCGCCGGUCUGGGAGCAGGCGAUAUCGUAUCAGCUAGUUGGUAGGGUAACGGCCUACCAAGGCGACGACGCGUAGCCGGACUGAGAGGUUGGCCGGCCUCAUUGGGACUGAGCACUGCCCAGACUCCUACGGGGGGCUGCAGUAACGAAUCUUCCGCAAUGCACGAAAGUGUGACGGAGCGACGCCGCGUGUGGGACGAAGUUCUUCGGAAUGUAAACCACUGUCAGGGGUUAGAAAGUUCUGAUCAACCCCAGAGGAAGGCACGGCUAACUCUGUGCCAGCAGCCGCGGU
rnacentral:rRNA from 1 species